rnacentral:rRNA from 1 species
AGGAGAACGCUGGCGGCGUGCUUAAGACAUGCAAGUCGAGCGGGGAUAUUGAAGUGGCUUGCCACGGAGAUAUUCUAGCGGCGGACGGGUGAGUAACACGUGGGCAACCUGCCCACCUGACUGGGAUAACACCUCGAAAGGGGUGCUAAUACCGGAUACGCCUUUACUGUUGCAUAGCGGUGAAGGGGAAGGCGGCGCAAGCCGUCACAGGUGGAUGGGCCCGCGGCCCAUUAGCUAGUUGGUGAGGUAACGGCCCACCAAGGCGACGAUGGGUAGCCGGCCUGAGAGGGCGGCUGGCCACACUGGGACUGAGACACGGCCCAGACUCCUACGGGAGGCAGCAGUCGGGAAUCUUGCACAAUGGGCGAAAGCCUGAUGCAGCGACGCCGCGUGAGGGAUGAAGGCUUUCGGGUUGUAAACCUCUGUCCCUGGGGACGAAGUCCCACACAGGAAAUGGUGUGGGUUUGACGGUACCCUAGGAGGAAGCCCCGGCUAACUACGUG